rnacentral:rRNA from 1 species
UACAGAGGUGGCAAGCGUUGUUCGGAAUUACUGGGCGUAAAGGGCGCGUAGGCGGUUUCGCAAGUCCCGUGUGAAAUCCCCCGGCUCAACUGGGGAACUGCACGGGAAACUGCGAGGCUUGAGUUCGGGAGAGGGAAGCGGAAUUCCGGGUGUAGCGGUGAAAUGCGUAGAUAUCCGGAGGAACACCGGUGGCGAAGGCGGCUUCCUGGACCGACACUGACGCUGAGGCGCGAAAGCUAGGGGAGCAAACAGG